GAGUUCCCACAGCCGGAGAGUCAGUAACCCGCCAGUGCUCCCCACAGGCCUGGGAUGGGCCCAGACCUCUGGCCAGCAUGUCCUGGAAAAUGAGAUGAAUGAAUCUAAUGCAGUCUAGAAGAGGAGCAAGAGGGAGUUCAGUUCGACCCGAAGAGGCACCUUCCCAAGGCCAGCAGAGAGCACCACAAGCCAUUAAAGGAGCCUGUCCUGGCUGUCCUUAUGAGGCAGCACCUGUCCUGAAGGCACGUCCCCCAGAUACUCACAUGGCUCUUGACAGAGAGGAUCUGGGACCGCAGCUUCUGGAUGCGUACAUUGAGGUCCGCGAUCUCGCUGCGGCUGCUCUGGAGGCUGCUCCCAUACUCGGCUGAGCGGGCGACCUGCUCCUCCAG